GAGGCUAUGGUGUAGCAGCAGCACAACGCUCUGUGGCAGCGUUAGCACGGGUGCAAAUCCCGUUAGUCUCC
rnacentral:tRNA from 1 species